UCCGCGUUGGACCUUACUUGGAUUGCUUUGUGGUUUGUAUACCGCCGUUUAUUGAUUAUCUUUUUAGAGUUGGGUAAAUUUUCUGGUUUCUUUAUUUUGGUUUAUUUCAGGUCAAGGUGCAGCUUGUUUCUAAGUGGAUGAUGGAUUACAUUUUUAUUUGUUUUUGGAUUGUCGAUUUAAAUAUUGAUAUGAAAUUGGAUUUGGUUGUAAUGGUUUGUAGAUUGUUAUUGUGAUAGAGGUUCUGGGAUAUGCACACAUCGCCCGUCGCUCUCGUUUGUUGUUAAUGAGAUAAGUCGUAACAGAGUGGUUGUACCGGAAGGUGCGGCUGGAUUGAU
rnacentral:rRNA from 1 species